AACAUACUUCCUCUGUUCCAAAUUACUCGUCGCAGAAAUGAAUAUAUCUAGAACUAAAAUACAUCUAGAUGUAUCCAUACCCGCGACAAGUAAUUUGGAACCGAGGGAGUACUUU
rfam:Triticum aestivum genome assembly, contig: Triticum_aestivum_CS42_TGACv1_scaffold_558756_7AL